rnacentral:rRNA from 1 species
AAAUUGAAGAGUUUGAUCAUGGCUCAGAUUGAACGCUGGCGGCAGGCCUAACACAUGCAAGUCGAACGGUAACAGGAAGAAGCUUGCUUCUUUGCUGACGAGUGGCGGACGGGUGAGUAAUGUCUGGGAAACUGCCUGAUGGAGGGGGAUAACUACUGGAAACGGUAGCUAAUACCGCAUAACGUCGCAAGACCAAAGAGGGGGACCUUCGGGCCUCUUGCCAUCGGAUGUGCCCAGAUGGGAUUAGCUAGUAGGUGGGGUAACGGCUCACCUAGGCGACGAUCCCUAGCUGGUCUGAGAGGAUGACCAGCCACACUGGAACUGAGACACGGUCCAGACUCCUACGGGAGGCAGCAGUGGGGAAUAUUGCACAAUGGGCGCAAGCCUGAUGCAGCCAUGCCGCGUGUAUGAAGAAGGCCUUCGGGUUGUAAAGUACUUUCAGCGGGGAGGAAGGGAGUAAAGUUAAUACCUUUGCUCAUUGACGUUACCCGCAGAAGAAGCACCGGCUAACUCCGUGCCAGCAGCCGCGGUAAUACGGAGGGUGCAAGCGUUAAUCGGAAUUACUGGGCGUAAAGCGCACGCAGGCGGUUUGUUAAGUCAGAUGUGAAAUCCCCGGGCUCAACCUGGGAACUGCAUCUGAUACUGACAAGCUUGAGUCUCGUAGAGGGGGGUAGAAUUCCAGGUGUAGCGGUGAAAUGCGUAGAGAUCUGGAGGAAUACCGGUGGCGAAGGCGGCCCCCUGGACGAAGACUGACGCUCAGGUGCGAAAGCGUGGGGAGCAAACAGGAUUAGAUACCCUGGUAGUCCACGCCGUAAACGAUGUCGACUUGGAGGUUGUGCCCUUGAGGCGUGGCUUCCGGAGCUAACGCGUUAAGUCGACCGCCUGGGGAGUACGGCCGCAAGGUUAAAACUCAAAUGAAUUGACGGGGGCCCGCACAAGCGGUGGAGCAUGUGGUUUAAUUCGAUGCAACGCGAAGAACCUUACCUGGUCUUGACAUCCACGGAAGUUUUCAGAGAUGAGAAUGUGCCUUCGGGAACCGUGAGACAGGUGCUGCAUGGCUGUCGUCAGCUCGUGUUGUGAAAUGUUGGGUUAAGUCCCGCAACGAGCGCAACCCUUAUCCUUUGUUGCCAGCGGUCCGGCCGGGAACUCAAAGGAGACUGCCAGUGAUAAACUGGAGGAAGGUGGGGAUGACGUCAAGUCAUCAUGGCCCUUACGACCAGGGCUACACACGUGCUACAAUGGCGCAUACAAAGAGAAGCGACCUCGCGAGAGCAAGCGGACCUCAUAAAGUGCGUCGUAGUCCGGAUUGGAGUCUGCAACUCGACUCCAUGAAGUCGGAAUCGCUAGUAAUCGUGGAUCAGAAUGCCACGGUGAAUACGUUCCCGGGCCUUGUACACACCGCCCGUCACACCAUGGGAGUGGGUUGCAAAAGAAGUAGGUAGCUUAACCUUCGGGAGGGCGCUUACCACUUUGUGAUUCAUGACUGGGGUGAAGUCGUAACAAGGUAACCGUAGGGGAACCUGCGGUUGGAUCACCUCCUUACCUUAAAGAAGC